rnacentral:rRNA from 1 species
GGUGAACGCUGGCGGUAGGCCUAACACAUGCAAGUCGAACGGCAGCACAGUAAGAGCUUGCUCUUACGGGUGGCGAGUGGCGGACGGGUGAGGAAUACAUCGGAAUCUACUUUUUCGUGGGGGAUAACGUAGGGAAACUUACGCUAAUACCGCAUACGACCUACGGGUGAAAGCAGGGGAUCUUCGGACCUUGCGCGAUUGAAUGAGCCGAUGUCGGAUUAGCUAGUUGGCGGGGUAAAGGCCCACCAAGGCGACGAUCCGUAGCUGGUCUGAGAGGAUGAUCAGCCACACUGGAACUGAGACACGGUCCAGACUCCUACGGGAGGCAGCAGUGGGGAAUAUUGGACAAUGGGCGCAAGCCUGAUCCAGCCAUACCGCGUGGGUGAAGAAGGCCUUCGGGUUGUAAAGCCCUUUUGUUGUGAAAGAAAAGCAGCAGGUUAAUACCCCGCUGUUCUGACGGUACCCAAAGAAUAAGCACCGGCUAACUUCGUA